GUUUUAGUGGUGAAAAGAUGGUUAAGGCUACAACUUCUCUGAUGCAUGAAAUGGAUGUUGACAAACCUCAAAGUCACAAUUUACACAUGGCAAACGGAGAAAAAAAUGGAGUGAAUGGUGAGAAUACGAUGGUAGAUAUGUUCCGACUGUCUCGUUGUAAGAAGCCCCUGCCUCAGAAACUAAUGCAAUCAGUUGGAAUUCCUUUGCCCCUUGAACAUGUUGAGGUUUUGGAGGAGAAUCUGGAGUGGGAAAACAUUCAAUGGUCACAAACUGGUGUUUGGAUUGCUGGAAAAGAAUAUCCUCUUACUAGAGCGCAUUUUCUUUCCCCAAAUUAGGCAAUGCUUUGUAAUAGAUACAGUUUAUUCUAUAAGACAAAGAUGUAUUGGGAUUUAUACUGAUUAGAAUGAUAAAUUGUGG
rnacentral:misc_RNA from 1 species